ensembl:lincRNA Gm29099 predicted gene 29099
ACCAUUUCACUCUGAUGAGCUGUAGCAGGAGCCAAAGAAAGAUCUGAAGGAAACCUGGGGGUGGAAGGCAACCUGGAUGUCGAGAGCAUCUCGUUUGCUAACUUUUUGAAAUACAUCCACUCUUCGGUUUUUGCAAGGGUCUCCAUCAUUCAAGGUCAGACAAGCAGACGCUUGCUCCACCCUUGGCGCUCAAGACCUCAAGCCAGUUCUGGUCUCAGCAGGUGCCUGUCAAUGUCUUCUACUGAGUUGCUGCUGUAGGGAUGCAGUGGAAAGGUCAACCCAGCCCUCCAACUGUGAGCCCAACACUCCCUACCACCGUGGGCCUUCCUAUUCCUCCUCUUCCAAGGACAUGUCUCUAUUGUCAAAAGAUGUUCCGGUUGAAGAAGCACUUUGGUGACAACCAUACCAUGCCAUGCUGAUCUCAGAAGCUGCAGGUGAGAGCCCAGAGCUAACCAGUGGUUCACUCUAGGGUGUUUUAAUAAAAGCUGGGUUCUUCAGGACGCAGGCUCUACCCACGUCUCUGUGUGCAUCUCUGCCAGAGCCGAGUAGGUUUGACUAAGUGUCAAGUUCUCCCUCGGAUCCUGCAUCCUGAGUCAGCACCACUCCAGGGCGCUCAACAGCCCUCCACCCUCAUCUCCCUGGAGAGAACCAGACACCUCAGUCAGGGACCACAGCAUGAAGGAGGGAGCCGACAUCCUACCUGCCCUUACCACACACCAGACACCACAGAAUGAGCCCAGCUAUCUGCAAAGAUGUUUGGCAAAA